CAGGCAGAUUCAUUCGUCUUUAGCAGUUGUUAUCUGUGCUGGGAAGAAAGGGAAUAAAAAGAUCUGGAUCAUCACAGUUGUCCUGUCAUUGGGUCUUCUGACUGUCCUUCAGCAACUUUACUUAAUACCCAACACCAUUUACAGCCUGUUGAUUGCAGUGCCUAUAAUCCUAAGCAAUUUCAUGUCAACAUUUCAAAUUGAGCUAAAUGUUUCAUAAGAGCUCAAUGUUUUGUCAGAUGUUUUCCAUCCAGACAUUAAAAUUUGUCAUGGUAAAAAGGUA